UAUAUCAGUCAUGCAUAGCAUAUCAAUAAGCGGAGGAAAAGAAACUAACAAGGAUUCCCUUAGUAACGGCGAGUGAAGCGGGAAGAGCUCAAAUUUGAAAUCUUCAAGGUUCUACCUUGACGAAUUGUAGUUUAUAGAAGUGUUUUCUGUAGUGGAGUUUGGUAAAAGUUCUUUGGAAUAGGACAUCAUAGAGGGUGAGAAUCCCGUAUUUGGACCAUUACUUCCCAGCUGUGUGAUACACUUUCAAAGAGUCGGAUUGUUUGGGAAUGCAGUCCAAAAUGGGUGGUAAAUUUCAUCUAAAGCUAAAUAUUGGCGAGAGACCGAUAGCGAACAAGUACCGUGAGGGAAAGAUGAAAAGAACUUUGAAAAGAGAGUUAAACAGUACGUGAAAUUGUCAAAAGGGAAGCGUUUGACACCAGUGUUGUUUUUCCGAAAAUCAAUUACGAAUGUUUUGUUUUUGAGGAGUUAUGACUUCAUCGGCUUGCUUCUCUCUUUACGAAACUUUCUUAAUGCACUUUUCGGUUAACAAGUCAACAUCAAUUUCUUUUGUUGUAAAAGGGUAUGAGGAAGGUGGCUUUCUUUUCGGAGAAAGUGUUUAUAGCCUUGUACCUCUGCAAUCGGAGAGAUUGAGGUCUGCAGCGUAGAUCCUUCGGGGUUAGAUACAGUUUGUGCUAAGUUAUAGCUUUUCAUAGACAACUUGUUGACUAUGAUUGAGUCUUGUAGCUUACUCGCUUAUGCUAUUUUACCUACGCUUAGGAUGUUGAUGUGAUACUGCGAGCA
rnacentral:rRNA from 1 species